rnacentral:rRNA from 1 species
UUUUAUGGAGAGUUUGAUCCUGGCUCAGGACGAACGCUGGCGGCGUGCCUAAUACAUGCAAGUCGAGCGAAUGGAUGGGAGCUUGCUCCCUGAAAUUAGCGGCGGACGGGUGAGUAACACGUGGGCAACCUGCCCUGUAGACUGGGAUAACUUCGGGAAACCGAAGCUAAUACCGGAUAAUCUUUGGAGCCUCAUGGUUCUAAAGUGAAAGUUGGGUUUACCUAACACUACA